rnacentral:lncRNA from 1 species
GUGUGUUGUUACUGCUGGGACGUUACUGUCUGGUGUGUUGUUACUGCUGGGACAUUACUGUCUGGUGUGUUGUUACUGCUGGGACAUUACUGUCUGGUGUGUUGUUACUGCUGGGACAUUACUGUCUGGUGUGUUGUACUGCUGGGACGUUACUGUCUGGUGUGUUGUUACUGCUGGGACGUUACUGUCUGGUGUGUUGUUACUGCUGGGACAUUACUGUCUGGUGUGUUGUUACUCACUGCUGGGACAUUACUGUCUGGUGUGUUGUUACUGCUGGGACAUUACUGUCUGGUGUGUUGUUACUGCUGGGACGUUACUGUCUGGUGUGUUGUUACUCACUGCUGGGACAUUACUGUCUGGUGUGUUGUUACUCACUGCUGGGACAUUACUGUCUGGUGUGUUGUUACUCACUGCUGGGACAUUACUGUCUGGUGUGUUGUUACUCACUGCUGGGACGUUACUGUCUGGUGUGUUGUUACUGCUGGGACAUUACUGUCUGGUGUGUUGUUACUGCUGGGACAUUACUGUCUGGUGUGUUGUUACUCACUGCUGGGACAUUACUGUCUGGUGUGUUGUUACUGCUGGGACGUUACUGUCUGGUGUGUUGUUACUGCUGGGACAUUACUGUCUGGUGUGUUACUCACUGCUGGGACAUUACUGUCUGGUGUGUUGUUACU